rnacentral:rRNA from 1 species
AUGCAUGGGGGAGUAGAUCAACCCAUGUGGAUGCUAACUAAAAAUAGGAAAUUCUCAGUAAAAUCCCUAUACUCUUUUUUGAUUAAUGAUGGAGUGGGAUUUCCACAGAAAUUCUCGUGGAAAACAAAAGUGCCAUCAAAAAUCAAAAUGUUUCUUUGGCUUGUGACCAGGAGAAGCAUUUUGACAAAAGAUAAUCUGCUUAGGAAAGGAUGGAAAGGUGCAAAAGAAUGUGUGUACUGUGGAAAAGAAGAAACUAUUGACCACUUAUUUUUUGAUUGCUCUGCAGCUAGAUUGGUCUGGAGCCUAAUCAAAUGUGUCUUUGAUCUUAGGCGAUCCCCCACUAAUCUAAAUGAUUUCUUGGGAGGAUGGUUAAAAUCCUUUAAGAAACCAGAGAAACAAAUGGUGUUAGUGGGGAGUGCAGCUGUUUUUUGGGCUUUGUGGAAAUGCAGAAAUGAUAUAAUCUUCAGAUAA